rnacentral:rRNA from 1 species
AGUACGAAGGCGUGAGGAGAGGACGCCCGCGGCCCAUCAGCUUAGUUGGUGAGUAUGCUACAAGGCUACGACGGGUAGGGGAUCUGAGAGGAUCGUCCCCCACACUGGAACUAGAAACACCGGUCCAGACCGCCGUACGGGGUGGCAGCAGUGAGGAAUAUUGGACAAGUGGGCGAAAGCCCGAUCCAGCAACGCCGCGUGGAGGAUGAAGGCCUUCGGGUCGUAAACUUCUUUAGAGGGAGACGAGAAAGGACGGUAUCCCUAGAAUAAGCGACGGCAAACUACGUG